rnacentral:lncRNA from 1 species
ACACAAAGAACCCGGGCUCGCCGAGCGCGCGCGCACACCCUCAUGCCGCGCGGCGAACGUUCGUUGCCAGGUGCGGCAGCCCGCCCUGGGCGCCUCCUGCCUGCGGAAGAAGAGCAGGACAGACCCGACCCGACCCGCCUAGUCCUUUCCUUCACAGCAGCCUCCAAACUCCACCGCUCGCCUCUUCCGCCAGGCUCCUAGGAUGAGGCCCAGGGCUCCUGGAGCAGCCAGGUGCAAACCAGACCGGGCUCGCACUCCACUGCGUUGCCCUGGGCGAUCGUCCACGUUCUGGGAGACUCGGUAUGCCCCGGGAGGGUGGCCUGAGCUUGUGGUGUGAAGCCAGGUACAGAGCUCCAGAAUCCUGGCCUUGCCAUGGCUGUGUGACCCUGGGCAAGUGACUCAAUUUCUCUGCCUCAGUGUCCUCAUCUAUAAAAUGGAAAGGAAAAUAGUAGCGCUUGUCUCCUCCGGCUGUUAUGAAGAUCCAAGGUUAACAGCGUAGAGAACUCGGAACGCACCCGGCAUCUAGGAAGUGCCAAGCCAGUGUCAGCUAAUGUGACUAUUUUUAAAUGGAGAUGGGGAGUGUGCCAUUAUUCUUGUCCUUAUUUGAAUGAACGGGCCCUCAGGGACCAUUUUCCACUGCCCCGCCCUGGCAGCAUGAGAGGGAAACGCUGUGAGAACCCCGAACCCCAGCCUUCUCCUGUCCCUCUCUCUCUCUCUCUCUCUCUGCACCUGGGAGGCGGGGAGGAGAGAGCCGAUCCUUCCACCAUUUACACGGAGAAUGAAAGAAGAAAUACCGGCCAGGCGCGGUGGCUCAUGCCUGUAAUCCCAGCACUUUGGGAGGCCGAGGGGGCAGAUCACCUGAGGUCAGGAGUUCGAGACCAGCCUGGCCAACAUGGCGAAACUCCGUCUCUACUAAAAGUACAAAAAUUAGCCUGGCGUGGUGCCGGGUGCCUAUAAUCCCAGCUACUCAGGAGGCUGAGGCAGGAGAAUCCCUUGAACCCGGGAGGCGGAGGUUGCAGUGAGCCGAGAUCACGCCACUGCACUCCAGCCUGGGUGACAAGAAUGAGUCUCAAAAAAACAAAAAAGAAGAAGAAGAAGAAAUACCACACAGGUCCGACCAAGAGCUGCCCCCACUCAGGCCAGGAUCCCUGCCUGGAAGGGCUCUGCAGCCACUCUCCCUGUACAGCCCCAGGAUGCUAAGGAGCAUCCCGAAGUGACACUGGCUCUCCCUGGAGGCCCCUGCCAUCGGACUCCAACCUGACCUUCCAGUGGGUGCUCCUCAUACUGGCUCCAGCCAAGACAGACGAGGACCACUGGGCACAUGCCCUUCCUUGCCUUCCUGUCACCCUUCCCACCCUUCUCUGCGGGCCCCGGGUGGCCCCUUCCUCCAGGAAGCACCUGGGGAUCAGCAGUGCCUCUAGGGUCCCAGUGGCCCACGUGACAUCUGCUUCUGGCCACCUGAGCACUCUCCUUUGAGUUCAGGGUCACUGUACCCUUUUAUAGGUGAGCAAACGAAAGCUGAGGAAGAGGAGUGACUGGGUCUCCCACAUCCCUCUGCUUCAGCUAUGAGGUUCCCUCAUGAACUGCAGGAAUAGACGUCAAGCAAAAACUCCUCAGACGCCCUGUGCAUGUGUGGUCGCACAGGGCACAAAGACUGAAGCAAAGGGGCAGGUCCUAGCGUGGGGAGGGGACUCCAGGAUUGAAGUUUGAACCAAAAGGAGGCUUUGACUAAGCCACGAGCAGUGAAGCCGGCAGGAGAGGAAGCAAGUUCUAGCAGAGAAAUUCGCCGGGUAUGGUGGUGCAUGCCUAUGGUCCCAGCUACUCAGGAGGCUGAGGCAGGAGGAUCACUUGAGCCCGGGAGGUGAAGGCUGCGGUAAGCUAUGACUACACCACUGCACUCCAGCCUAGGUGCGAGAGCAAGACCCUGUCUCCAAACAACAACAACAACAACAAAAUCUGAAUGCCUGGUUUAUCUUGAAAUAUGGCAAAAUGGGGCCACCCAGGCCCAUUAACCCCCUGUCUACAAUGUCCUGGAGCUGAGGGGCAUUAGCCACCCUCUCACAUGGGCUCCCCAGGGUGCCACAGCUCCCUCCUAGCUAGUUUGCUCUUUUCUGUCACCUACCGGCCCUUGCAGGGAGCUGAAUUUGAGACCCAUGAUGCACUUUGUGCACCCUGCCCCCUCAAAGAUAACUGUGAGUACCAAGGGAAAUGGAAAGCUUUGGCAACAAGAAGGGAGCUUCAAGGAAAGCCAGGCCGAGGUUCCCCUCAGAACCAUAGACUAGCCUGAAAUUCCACUGGGACUAAUUCUUCUCAUUUCAAGAAUGAAAAUCGAUUGCUGGACAGAGCUCCCGGAGGGCCAAUUUUCAGGCUGUAGUCUACAGCCGUCCACGUAGAGGCAGUGAACGAAAUUUUUCAAAGCCUACUUUAUGAUUACUUUCUUUAGCAGCUCUCAACAGUAAAAUAAAAUUGAUCUAGGACUUUGAACAAAACUUCUCGCCCCUUUCUAGGGAAGAGUUUGUCUCGUCUAUCAGGCCACCAACAAGAGUUGUUGCAAUGCCUGUGGGAGGUGCAGCCCACGCUGGGCCACCUGGCCAGCUCAGGGAUCCUGCUGGAGAUCGAGGAUUGUCUGGUCGGCCUCUUACAACUCUCAGAACAUCAUCCCUGGGAGCAGCCCUGAAGAGACCAAGGGUCAGUGGCGGGGCUGCUGAGUGGCUGCCUCCCUGACCUGGCCAGCAUUUCCUGGGCACACUGCAGUGUGUCCACGUCCCUGGGCCUCAGCUCCAGUGUCUCAUCCCCAG